AAAUUGAAGAGUUUGAUCAUGGCUCAGAUUGAACGCUGGCGGCAGGCCUAACACAUGCAAGUCGAACGGUAGCACAGAGAGCUUGCUCUCGGGUGACGAGUGGCGGACGGGUGAGUAAUGUCUGGGAAACUGCCUGAUGGAGGGGGAUAACUACUGGAAACGGUAGCUAAUACCGCAUAACGUCGCAAGACCAAAGAGGGGGACCUUCGGGCCUCUUGCCAUCAGAUGUGCCCAGAUGGGAUUAGCUAGUAGGUGGGGUAACGGCUCACCUAGGCGACGAUCCCUAGCUGGUCUGAGAGGAUGACCAGCCACACUGGAACUGAGACACGGUCCAGACUCCUACGGGAGGCAGCAGUGGGGAAUAUUGCACAAUGGGCGCAAGCCUGAUGCAGCCAUGCCGCGUGUAUGAAGAAGGCCUUCGGGUUGUAAAGUACUUUCAGCGGGGAGGAAGGUGUUGUGGUUAAUAACCACAGCAAUUGACGUUACCCGCAGAAGAAGCACCGGCUAACUCCGUGCCAGCAGCCGCGGUAAUACGGAGGGUGCAAGCGUUAAUCGGAAUUACUGGGCGUAAAGCGCACGCAGGCGGUCUGUCAAGUCGGAUGUGAAAUCCCCGGGCUCAACCUGGGAACUGCAUUCGAAACUGGCAGGCUAGAGUCUUGUAGAGGGGGGUAGAAUUCCAGGUGUAGCGGUGAAAUGCGUAGAGAUCUGGAGGAAUACCGGUGGCGAAGGCGGCCCCCUGGACAAAGACUGACGCUCAGGUGCGAAAGCGUGGGGAGCAAACAGGAUUAGAUACCCUGGUAGUCCACGCCGUAAACGAUGUCGAUUUGGAGGUUGUGCCCUUGAGGCGUGGCUUCCGGAGCUAACGCGUUAAAUCGACCGCCUGGGGAGUACGGCCGCAAGGUUAAAACUCAAAUGAAUUGACGGGGGCCCGCACAAGCGGUGGAGCAUGUGGUUUAAUUCGAUGCAACGCGAAGAACCUUACCUGGUCUUGACAUCCACAGAACUUAGCAGAGAUGCUUUGGUGCCUUCGGGAACUGUGAGACAGGUGCUGCAUGGCUGUCGUCAGCUCGUGUUGUGAAAUGUUGGGUUAAGUCCCGCAACGAGCGCAACCCUUAUCCUUUGUUGCCAGCGGUUAGGCCGGGAACUCAAAGGAGACUGCCAGUGAUAAACUGGAGGAAGGUGGGGAUGACGUCAAGUCAUCAUGGCCCUUACGACCAGGGCUACACACGUGCUACAAUGGCGCAUACAAAGAGAAGCGACCUCGCGAGAGCAAGCGGACCUCAUAAAGUGCGUCGUAGUCCGGAUUGGAGUCUGCAACUCGACUCCAUGAAGUCGGAAUCGCUAGUAAUCGUAGAUCAGAAUGCUACGGUGAAUACGUUCCCGGGCCUUGUACACACCGCCCGUCACACCAUGGGAGUGGGUUGCAAAAGAAGUAGGUAGCUUAACCUUCGGGAGGGCGCUUACCACUUUGUGAUUCAUGACUGGGGUGAAGUCGUAACAAGGUAACCGUAGGGGAACCUGCGGUUGGAUCACCUCCUUACCUUAAAGAA
rnacentral:rRNA from 1 species